CCUCAUAAUACAACCUUCUCUUCCCCCUUCCUUCCCUACCUCCCCACCUGAAUGUAACUAUACUUUGCACAGUCCUCCUAUCCUUAUUCUUUCCCACCUCAGUAUACCUCUACCUCAAAAUCCCAGCCUUCUUCUGUCACUCCCCAGACCCUUAAAUCACCUCCUGACAUUUCUACCUUCCCACACUCUGCCUAAAAUCUCUAGCCCACCACCCCCCAGACACAACUUUUCCCCUGCCCUGCCUCUCUACCUCAUACCUACAUCCACAUCUUUCCCCAUCCCCUGACCUAUAUAUCAUGUCCACUCCCACCCCUGCCUUCUGUCAGGUCCCAGCAGCCUGACCUGCUCCUUAAGAGAGAAAGAAGUUAACUAGAUGGCAGUCGGGGGAAGUGGAAAGAUGGUUCAGGAGCCUAUAUGGAUCAGACUGAAACUGAAUCAAUAUCCCCAUAUCAGCCCUCAAGCAAGAAAUUGUGAAAAU